rnacentral:lncRNA from 1 species
GUCUGGCCUCACAAGGCUAUUGUCUUCAAGCUCCCACUGCCAGGAUUGGAGCUGCCCCUGUCACCAUAUGGACCAUGUCACCUAAACUGUGAGCCAAUGUGAACCUCCCCAUGUUGUGUCACUCCCACCAGGUAGUUGGCUACAGCAACAAGGAUGACGAACACAGAUGAAUUGAUCAGGAUGUAACCAUUCAAAGUUGAGAGGAUUAGAGGACUUCUCCGAGGCGGCUCCAAUGGAUGCCAGCAGAGUUAAAGUGUCCAAUGGAGAGAAGAGAAGGCUUGGGAAAUCCAGAGUCCAUUCAUUCAUCGCCCUCCUCCUAGAACAACAAAAGCGAGCCCCAGUACUCAUCAGCAUGGACUCUGUGUGUAGUCAUCUCCCUUAGUUUCAGAGGUUCCUGCCUACAGCAAAACUUUAGAGGCUUAGAGUUUAACGGUCAUAGCUUAUUCACCUCCAACUGUGUCCUAGUUCAAGAGAAACACUUCACAUAUCUGUAGGGAGAAGAUAAUGAACCAAGGAUACAAGUUAAGCCUUAGCUAAGACCUGUUACUCAGGAAAAAGAGCUAAAACAAGCUGCUUAGAUCAGCACCAAUGUUAGGUAGAGAGAAAAAGAAACGCUGCAUAGAAAUCUUAAGGUUCACAUGUGCUCCAGGCUGGGUCAACAACUUCUAAUUUCCUUUGCCAACCAACCAUGUCUUUGACAGAAAUGAUCCUUCUACAUAGACCACAGAGGGAUCCAAUGGAGGUUUCUCUUCCUGAAUUUGGGGAUUCAGAAUCUGGACAAAUUCCUUUCCAUCAAAGUCCAGUACAAAAGUAGUACCAUGGCAGUCCCUGCAGGGACUUGCAUCACUUUCCCUAGAGAUAUCAAGAGAAUUUUUAGUGAUAAGAAUAUGGCACAAAAUGAGAAAUCCCAUUACUCUUAAGAGAAUCUCUUCCUUCUCAAAGGCACCUGAUUAAUACAUAUAGUACUAUCAGUAAGGCUGAGCAAAAGGAUACUGAUGUUCUGAGUGAUCUUAAAUCAUGUAAUAAUAACUUUAUUCGUAGUAUAGAACGGAAUAUUCCCUAUUAGUAAUCAGUUCCUUUGCCAGAUCCUCAUAGUAUCUUAGUCACUGUUUUAUUGUUAUGAAGAGAAACUUUGACCACAGCACCUCUUAGAAAAAAGGAAGCAUUUAAUCGGGACUUCCUUAUGGUUUCACAGUUUUACAUAAUUGUCAACAUGGCAGAGAACAUGGGGGCACGCAAACAGACAUGGUGCUGGAGAAGUAGCGGAGAAUAUACAGCAACAUAUAGAUACAAAAUAUAGAUACAUAUAGAUACAGAAUAUAGAUACAUAUAGCUACAUAUAGAUCUGCAGGCAGCAGGAAGAGACUGGGACAAGGCCAUACCUUCUAAGGCUUCUCAAGGAGUGUCACUUCCUGAUGACCAAGCAUUCAAGUGUAUGAGCUUAUGGGAGCCAUUCUUAUUCAAGCCACCACACAUAGCAAAGCUGAUAAUGUCAUUUUCUGAAUUAACCAGGCCAAGGCACACUUCUUAGCAACAUGGUUACCUGGUAACCAGAGAUUUUUCUCAUCCCAUGAGAGAUUUCAUUCAAGAACUGAUCUUCUAACAGUUUUGUCUCUCUUAAGAAUGCUACAGACAGGGUGGGGUGAGGCACAGUGCUGAAGCCCCUCAAGUUUCCCAGAGGGAUGAGUCCAUGAAAGACGAAAAUCAUGUGGUCACACUGAGCAUAGACUUCACAAGCAUCAUGCUAGGAUUCCAUUUUCUUUCUCAACACAAUGAUAAAUUCUUCUUCCAAUAAGCAGAAAAUCAUCCAAUGGGAAAAAAAAAUAAAACCAACUAACUUGCAGUCCUUUGGAACAGUUUCAUAGCUUACAGGAUGGCUUCAUAACCCUGGGGACACUCGUUUUGACAUGAAAACUUCCUUCAGAACAGGAAUUCUGAUCCAACAUGUGCUCAGACAUCAUUUCAGUCACUUGCAAAUGAACAAGAAAGCUCAUGUAAAUGAGGAGGCUCAACUCCCAGGCCUGGUGAGUGGGUAAGACAUUCCUCUGCUGGGUUUUGAAGGCUGUCUGAAACCAUCGGCUGACAUCCUUCUCUGUGUGCAUGUAUGCACUAUCUACGGGAAAUUCAGCUCCAACCGGUUGUCUCUACAGCUCCCUUAAUCUUCUCCUCCCUCCUCCUGGCAUUGGCAUGUGUCCCAGGACUGCAGCGAGGAGUGCUUACCAACAAAGGUGCUGGCAUCUGCAUUUGUUUCACAGCCACAAACCUAAUGGUUCCAUGAUUUUGGCGAGCAAAACUGUCAAAAUGCCUGAGCACAAGAGAUCACAAGAUGAGCCAAGGCAUAGUGUGCAUGCCUUCCUUCCCAGCACUCGGAAGGCAGAGGCAAGGGGAUCUCUGUGGGUUCAAGGCCAGCCUGAAUCACAAGGUGUACUGGGGAUUCUUUUUUAUUGUUUUCCUUUUGCUAUCUGGAAUAGUUUGAGAUUGUAUUUGAUCAGUGCAUUAAACAAC